ACGGCCGGGCCGGGCCGGGCCUCGCGGCGGCCGGGCGGCCUUUACGGGGUCCUGCCUGGGUCAAAAUAACCGCGGGCGCGCGGCUGCCGCCGGCCGGCGCAACGACAGAGGUCGAAGGGGGAGUGGGCCCGGCCGCUAGGCUCGGCCCGGGUGACGUGGGGCGCAGGCGUGCUCCUGCCGCACGUGUGCCCGCUGCCCGCGCGGCCGCUUCUCGUGCGGCGGCAGUUGAGAGGCCUCGGCACCGGGGCUGAAGUAACGCUAACGGCAGAGAGCCUGGUAGGGGGCUCGAGUCCACUCUGGUCUUCAUAAGCUACGGAGCAUCUUACCUGUGCCAGCUGACGUGAAGCGGGAGUCCCGAUCCUUGUCCGCUGGACAGCUCUCUCGGAGAGAUGUUCUCUGUCACAGAGCGGCGCCAUAACAGCGGAGUCGCAGCUGUCCCAGCAGGGCAGGUUUCAACCGCGCGCUGCGCUCUGUCGCCGCGGCAUCGCGUCCGUCUGGCAAAACAAACCCACCCACCACCCGCGUCCUCCGGCUCGAACAGCCGGCGCGGCACAGCGGGCGCGCUGCCUGCGGGUACCGCGGGGUUUGCCGUCGUCUUCGGAGUUCGUUCGUUCAGUAAAAACUACGAAAUAGCAGAACCCCAUGAAGCGUGCGUUUGAUGAAGUGAAGCCGGCACGGAAUAAGCCAAUUAAUGAGCAUUCUGAGCCUGAACAACAGAACCGACGUGCUGUUGUCUGUUGAGUAAAACUCGGUUCAGUCUGGGAUCUUCAAAUCACUCUGACUAAAACUCACUUUCCCGGGGUAAAAGAUUGGGUAAAACUUCACAUACUGCAGGACUUGCUUCUCAAAAGUGAUGCAGUUAAUAUUUGCACGUGUCAGAGGAUUUCUGCAAAUUCUCUGCAUGGGAUUACAACUGCCAUUAAUACAUAGUUCAUAAGUAAAAAUCUGUAAUGGGAAUGGAAAGAGUUCAUUAAAGAAAUUUAUUCCCCAAUAAUAA